rnacentral:rRNA from 1 species
UACAGAGGGUGCGAGCGUUAAUCGGAAUUACUGGGCGUAAAGCGCGCGUAGGCGGCCUUUCAAGUCGAUUGUGAAAUCCCCGGGCUUAACCUGGGAACUGCAGUCGAGACUGUCUAGCUAGAGUAUGGGAGAGGGAAGUGGAAUUUCAGGUGUAGCGGUGAAAUGCGUAGAUAUCUGAAGGAACAUCAGUGGCGAAGGCGGCAUCCUGGACCGAGAUUGACGCUGAGGCGCGAAAGCCAGGGGAGCAAACGGG